GUGUCAGCAGCCGCGGUAAUACGGAGGGUGCAAGCGUUAGUCGGAAUUACUGGGCGUAAAGGGUGCGUAGGCUGUUUUGUAAGUCAGAUGUGAAAAACCAAAGCUCAACUUUGGCAGUGCAUCUGAAACUGCAAAACUGGAGGGAUAGCGGAGAAAACGGAAUUCCACGUGUAGCGGUGAAAUGCGUAGAUAUGUGGAAGAACACCUGUGGCGAAAGCGGUUUUCUAGCUUACCCCUGACGCUGAGGCACGAAAGCAAGGGGAGCAAACAGGAUUAGAUACCCUGGUAGUCCUUGCCCUAAACUAUGUAUACUUGGUGUUGUCGGGCUCAACCCUGACAGUACCGUAGCUAACGCGAUAAGUAUACCGCCUGGGGAGUACGCUCGCAAGGGUAAA
rnacentral:rRNA from 1 species